CUCCUAAAAUUAUAGUUUAGUUGUAGUUUUUCUAAACUGCAAUGCAAUAAUCAUUAAUAUAGUAUAGGAAUGCUAUCGUGUUCCCGUAAAGGCGUUCUGUCUUGUGCUUUGGAAUGCGCGAAUAGAACUUUGCUCCCAGGCUUUUCCCGCCUUUAUGCUCGCAAUGCGCGAAUGGAACUUUGCCCACUCGGCUUCCGCGCCUUUUUUGCUCGCAGGUGUAGCCUCAGACAACGAAUGUGUGAGCAUAGAAAGGGUCAUGUAUUACAUAAGCCUGGAGGUGAUGUUGAGUGGUUUCACUUAUUAUUAUUUUAAAAGAGCAGUGGUAGUUUACUGUAAUUCUAAUGACCAUGAUGAGCCUUUGGGGUGAAAAUCGUUAAUAUGUAGGGUGCUUUUUUGUUGAAUUUUAAUGAGAGAAUGAAUGUCAUUAAGAGUAGGACAAAGGAAAUAAUCUUGCGAUUCAAUAAAUAAUAGGAGUGUCUUCUUCUUCUUCAGACAGGAUGUGAUGACGUCACACAGUCUGUAGCAAUGCAUUGACCGUUACCGGAAAAAAGUGUGGCAAUAGAAAAAUAGUGUGUAUUGUCCUGGGCAGAUUUAUGAUGAGCACUGUUUUUGAAUAAGAGGAGUGCGUGUGCUUAGAAAUAGUUUGAUGCUGGUUUCCUUCUUUGUUUCUUUUCGCUUUUUCCCCCCUUGUCUGACAAACAUGUGCUGACAUGCCUGGGCUUGUUCUGACAUGCUUUCCUUCUGCAUGUAGUUUUUUUCUUUUUGUACAAGGCAUAUUCUUGACGAUAGUGCUGCCUUGAAUGGGAGUAGAGCUAUUCUUAAUAAUUUUGCGAUUCAUUUAGUUCAGAGAGUAACCGCGAGGGGGACAGGUGUGUGACUUUAUGUCUUGCUGAACCAUUUUUUUUUUUCCUGUACAGUAAGACUUUGGGAAUGAAAUGCUACAAUCUCCUCUUGUCUAUGGUGUUUUUCUGCAAUAGUUCCCUACGCAAUCAUUAUAGUAGAAUAAAGGAAAUAAUCUAGGGAUAGUGAUUCAAUAAAUAACAGGUGCCCUGUCUAGAGCGUACGCGUCCUUGAGCCACGCACCUGCAUGAUGACCGCAUACCGAGAGACUAUUGUUUCAGGUUGACCUUGUCUAGAGGAGCAUUAGUGGAAAAAAACUGUGUAGCCCUGAGACAAUAGGAUGACGUUACGACCAAUGAGAACGGCCUGCAGGGGGCGCAAGGAUUCACUUCUCUCUUGGACACUGACGGGUCUCGACACGCAAAUUCUGCUCCUGGCGUUGGCCGUCAGUGGAAGAGCGUAGCUUCGGUGGGGUUCUGUCUGCCUCUGAUGGGGUGCGGAUGUGUGGUUCGUCACUGGUGAAUGGUGUUCGACGAUGCAGGUGGAUUUUGUGACGAGCGGAUUUACAAUGAAGGAAUGCUGUGAACGGGAAAAAUGAUGGUGAGUGCCUUUUUCACUCUGUUCAAGUGUUUGUUUUCCUCUGUUGCCCAGCAGUCGUACGAUUUGUCCUGACGUGUCCUGAUAUGCCCCGAUAUGCAUGCUUUCCUUUGUUGACGCUUAGUAUUUUUUUCUUUUUUGACAAGGAACAUUGUCGUCUUGACGAUAGUGCUGCCCCGAGUUCUGCGCGCGUUGAUUUGUUGAGUGCCUAGUCCUCUUAUUAGCCAUUGAUGGAGUUACAUGUUAGGAUGUUUUGUUCUUUUGCAAGUCUCAUUUAGUAAGACUUUGGAAUUCCUACGAUCAGUUUUCAUGCAUGGUGCUCUUCUGCAAUAGUUUCCUAUGCAAUCGUUAUAGAAGAAUAAAGGAAAUAAUCUUGGGAUAGUGAUUCAAUAAAUAAUAGGUCCCCUGUCUAGAGCGCACGCGUCCUUGAGCCACGCAGGUGCAUGAUGACGUCAUACCGUGGCUUCACUGCAGAUUGACCAAAGGAGCAUUAGUGGAAAAAAAAACAGUGUAGCCCUGAGACAAUAGGAUGAUGUCUGGACCAAUGAGAACGGCCAGCAGGGGGCGCAGGAAUGCUCUUCUCACUUAGCCUCACGACCAAUGAGAACGGGCAGCAGGGGGCGCAGGAAUGCUCUUCUCUCUUAGCCCCUCGCAGGUGGCGGUAGGAGCGCGCAGAGGGCGCUACGAGCGCGCGCAUGCGUAGCACCCGUAGAGUGGCGCUUACGUCAGUCCACCUCUGGCUCUCGUUGGGAGAAGACGUGCGGUCGUUCGCUCCGUCGUCACUUGAUCCCUGGCUGUCGACGAGAGCAGUCGCAUCGGUCUGCGCUCCUGCUGUGAGCUGUCCUAACUUGCCCAGACAUGCCAUGAUGACGUCACAGCUGACGUCACAGGAUGUGCGGAACUGGUGCUGCGAUGCUUUGCAACCUGCCUCUGUGCUCCGUCGCCCAGCGACGGUCAGCGGCCGUUCCGGGCCGCUUUCUUCAAGAUGACGUCGUUGAUCUUCAACUAAACUCCUUCUCUCCACUCUAUCUCUAUCUUUUCAUUUUAUUUUCUACCUAUUUUUUAUUUUUUGUCAGCUCAAGUAGCCGGCAACUCACAUCUUCGUCUGGACGUGUCUUAGAUGGUCCCCAAUUAGUGUAAUGACUCUCUGGAGGGUCCCGAUUAAUGUGGGGGGUCCCAAUUAGCUCUAAUUGCUAAUUAAUGGCGUCCAGACGAAGAUGUGACUUGCCGGCUUCUUGAGCUGAUACAUUACUACUCACGGUAUCGGGCUUUUUCGUGAAUCGUCACUUUUCAACUCUCCGAUUUCACAACCAAGGCAGCCCUGCCGGAGAAUGGCGAUGUUCGCGACAAUGUUCAUAAUAUAGCAGGUGUCCACCAUAGCUGGAACCAACACCGUGAACUCAUUUGGUGACUUCCGUCACGAAUUCAGAGUUCCACAUACUCAAAUUUGACAGGCGAGCAGCAGAACAAAUCAUUAACUGCAGUGUCAACAGAAUCCUGAUAGCCGGCGAAAAAUACAAUAAACGAUUCGUCCAGACUCGGUACUCUCGUUCCCAGCCUACCGCAAAGAGCCACACCCUGCGGGGAACUAUUUUCGGACGCGGGAGUCAGAAGCCUUCGUUAAUCUCAGACUGUCGUGCCUGUCGACUAAUCAGAGACGAUUUAUUUUGAAAGUUUGAAUCUGAAGCGUUUGUAUCGCAAGAGUUGAUUUUUACGGCUUUAUCUUUACACCGUGGAUUUUGUCGUCAUUUAUUUCGAGGAGUUUAUUCACGAAGUUUAUUUUGCGAAGUGUAAACCAGAGUGAUCCCGUUGGGGGUUGGACGCGUUGCGAUGAGUUCGCUUUGUCUUCGGAUGCUGUAGCAAGAAUCGUGUAACUUCUGUGCAGUAUUUGCUUGUGUUUUAGUGCUCUUUCUAAGACAAUGCGAUGACAGUGGUCCCUGCACAACACAUUGUCAAUUUCCCGGAAGAGUUUUCACAAGAAACGGACGGGGAAACGCCAACCGGACAGCACGUGGUGGUGCUUCUGAUGUUCGAAGAAACUUAGGAGGAACUCAAAGAGAUACUGAUUCCGAACGUAUCGUGAAGAGGAAACGGGUAUAUGCGACCUGCAUGGAAAACAGGAACGUCAUCUUCUCUGAGAAAAUAGAAGAUGUGAGGUGGCCAACAAAACGUAAAGCUCCCUGUGGUCCGCGAGUGCAUCGCACAGUCAGGCAUAUGCUUUGUCUAGACACAGUGACCAGACUUAUACUACGUAGUACGCAUGU